rfam:Oryza punctata chromosome 1, whole genome shotgun sequence.
AAUAAGUGCAGUUUUGCACUGUUUAUAUCUAACGUUUGACCAUCCAUCUUAUUUGAACAAAUUUUAUGAUUAGUAUUUUUGUUGUUAUUAGAUGAUAAAACAUGAAUUGUACUUUAUGUGUGACUAAUAUUUUUUAUUUUUUCAUAAUUUUUUAAAUAAGACGAACGAUCAAACAUUGAACACGGAUAUUCAUGAUUGCGCUUAUU